UACAGGACUGGCUGCAGUCAGCCCAUGAGUUUGCUCAUCAUUAGGCUUUGCAGGACCCUGUUACGUAGUGAAGAGGCUUGGAGAGUCUGUUUACCAUGUUCGGAAGAGACCUGGGGGUGGUGGUUUCAUACCGGGACAGGAUUUCUACAUAUAUGGGAGAACAGCAGCCCUUCAAGAGCAAAGGUCAACGGCAGACUGCUGGGGCAACCCACCCUGCACACGGACAAGGGGUGGAGAAACUCAGCAGGAAACAAACCACAGCCCAUUGGGUGCUUGCAAAACGGAUUCUCAUCUCUUGUCUGUUUCUCCUGGGAAAGUGCAGAAUGUCACAAUAUGUUACAAGCUUCUGAUCAGAUAAAAUCUUUUGACAUGCGCAUACUACAUUAAUAUGCGUUUCCCGCUGUUGUCACACACUGUUUUAAAAAGCACACAAGAUAUUCAUCUACUUUGUGUUAUAAUUAGGUGAUGACCAGCACAUGAACUGUUGUGCAGUACUGCUUACUUUAUAAAACAGCAAAAGUGCUCUUUCCUGUACCCAAAACCAGCUAUCUGUUAAUGAGGGUCUCAAGGACUGGUGGGACGUUGUCCUGCUCCCCUUCACAGAUGCUGAGUGAAAGGGGAAUUUUAUGAUGAUAAAACACUCAUUUAUGAUACUUCUUCCACCAGAAAUGACAGCUCGUUCCGUGCAUCAUACAUUAUUAUGCUAUUUUUACAUCACUGCACAUGCGCAGUACUUUCCAGUUUUGGUUUUCAAUCUGAUCAAGUGUUUACGUGUCCUCUCACUUGGAUUAUAAAAACAAUAAACCACCCCUUACAAUGCGAUCGAAAUUUUAGUCAGACAUGGCCAAUUCAGUCCCACUGACAUGGUUACAUGUGAUUUUUUUUAAUUCUGACUGUGCUUCUAGUCCUAUUACAAUCGGAUUAGUAGGGUCCAUGUAAAAGGAACUACUGUUAAUUGAUUGCUGAGGUGUCAUGGCUUAAUCAGUGGUUUGCAGUGAUUUAAGAACUAAGAGCUAAGAGCAUUGUUAGGCAUAAUGAGGAACAUAGUUAAAUGUUCCAAAACAUAGUUAUUACAUAUGUUUA